rnacentral:rRNA from 1 species
AUUGAACGCUGGCGGCAGGCCUAACACAUGCAAGUCGAGCGGAUGAAGGGAGCUUGCUCCUGGAUUCAGCGGCGGACGGGUGAGUAAUGCCUAGGAAUCUGCCUGGUAGUGGGGGAUAACGUCCGGAAACGGGCGCUAAUACCGCAUACGUCCUGAGGGAGAAAGUGGGGGGUCUUCGGACCUCACGCUAUCAGAUGAGCCUAGGUCGGAUUAGCUAGUUGGUGGGGUAAAGGCAUACCAAGGCGACGAUCCGUAACUGGUCUGAGAGGAUGAUCAGUCACACUGGAACUGAGACACGGUCCAGACUCCUACGGGAGGCAGCAGUGGGGAAUAUUGGACAAUGGGGGAAAGCCUGAUCCAGCCAUGCCGCGUGUGGGAAGAAGGUCUUCGGAUUGUAAAGCACUGUAAGUUGGGAGGAAGGGAAGUAAGUUAAUACCUGGCUGUUUUGACGUUACCAACAGAAUAAGCACCGGCUAACUUCGUG